UACGUAGGGGGCAAGCGUUGUCCGGAAUCAUUGGGCGUAAAGAGCGCGUAGGCGGUCCGGUAAGUCGGUUGUGAAAACUGGGGGCUCAACCCUCAGAGGCCGACCGAUACUGUCGGGCUAGAGUCCGGAAGAGGCGAGUGGAAUUCCUGGUGUAGCGGUGAAAUGCGCAGAUAUCAGGAAGAACACCCGUGGCGAAAGCGGCUCUCUGGAACGGUACUGACGCUGAGACGCGAAAGCGUGGGGAGCGAACAGG
rnacentral:rRNA from 1 species